CCUACGGGAGGCAGCAGUGAGGAAUAUUGGUCAAUGGACGAGAGUCUGAACCAGCCAAGUAGCGUGAAGGAUGACUGCCCUAUGGGUUGUAAACUUCUUUUAUAUGGGAAUAAAAUGUUCCACGUGUGGGAUUUUGUAUGUACCAUAUGAAUAAGGAUCGGCUAACUCCGUGCCAGCAGCCGCGGUAAUACGGAGGAUCCGAGAGUUAUCCGGAUUUAUUGGGUUUAAAGGGAGCGUAGGUGGAUUGUUAAGUCAGUUGUGAAAGUUUGCGGCUCAACCGUAAAAUUGCAGUUGAAACUGGCAGUCUUGAGUACAGUAGAGGUGGGCGGAAUUCGUGGUGUAGCGGUGAAAUGCUUAGAUAUCACGAAGAACUCCGAGUGCGAAGGCAGCUCACUGGACUGCAACUGACACUGAGGCCCGAAGGCGUGGGGAGCAAACAGGAUUAGAUACCCUGGUAGUC
rnacentral:rRNA from 1 species